rnacentral:rRNA from 1 species
UGGGGAAUAUUGCACAAUGGGCGAAAGCCUGAUGCAGCAACGCCGCGUGAGUGAUGAAGGCCUUCGGGUUGUAAAGCUCUGUCUUUUGGGACGAUAAUGACGGUACCAAAGGAGGAAGCCACGGCUAACUACGUGCCAGCAGCCGCGGUAAUACGUAGGUGGCAAGCGUUGUCCGGAUUUACUGGGCGUAAAGGAUGCGUAGGCGGAUUUUUAAGUGAGAUGUGAAAUACCCGGGCUUAACUUGGGUGCUGCAUUUCAAACUGGGAAUCUAGAGUGCGGGAGAGGAGAAUGGAAUUCCUAGUGUAGCGGUGAAAUGCGCAGAGAUUAGGAAGAACACCAGUGGCGAAGGCGAUUCUCUGGACCGUAACUGACGCUGAGGCAUGAAAGCGUGGGUAGCAAACAGGAUUAGAUACCCUGGUAGUCCACGCCGUAAACGAUGAGUACUAGGUGUAGGAGGUAUCGACCCCUUCUGUGCCGCAGUUAACACAAUAAGUACUCCGCCUGGGAAGUACGAUCGCAAGAUUAAAACUUAAAGGAAUUGACGGGGUCAUAGC